rnacentral:tRNA from 1 species
GCAUUUGUUGUUCAGUGGUUGAAUUCUCACCUUCCAUGCAGGAGACCAGGGUUCAAUUCCCAGCCAAUGCA